rnacentral:rRNA from 1 species
GACGAACCGUGCGAACGUUGUUCGGAUUCACUGGGCUUAAAGGGCGCGUAGGCGGAUGGUCAAGUCGGGGGUGAAAUCUUUCAGCUUAACUGGAAAAGUGCCUUCGAUACUGAUCGUCUCGAGGGAGGUAGGGGCAUGUGGAACUUCCGGUGGAGCGGUGAAAUGCGUAGAUAUCGGAAGGAACGCCGGUGGCGAAAGCGACGUGCUGGACCUCUUCUGACGCUGAGGCGCGAAAGCUAGGGGAGCAAACGGG